AUGCCUCGGAAAGGCAGAAGAUCCCAGGCUCAAAAAGUUCGUUGGACAAAGUUAGACCUGACAGGACAGACGAGCGUCAGUAAAGGUGUGGCUCAGGUUUCUGAUGGACAGCAGUAUGAAGAUGGCGACAACACAUCUAGAAUUCGAUCCGUGCAGGCGUCUCAUUGCCAGAGUGAUGCAAGGUAUCAUGUUUUCUCACGAAAUCAUCAGUGCACGUGUGUAGCUCUGACAUUCCUUGCGUACCAUAGUGAGGGAACUUUGUUCGAACAGCCUGAUCUAGACAGAGUGCUAGAGGAAGGGGAUGCUUUGUAUGUCGGCAUUAAAAUGCAGCUUAUUGCUGAAGGAAGAUUCCGACAGGAUCUUCUAAGCAUGGCUGAAGUACCUGUGAGCAUCACAACUUCUAACCACAACUACACUGUCCAAAAGUCAGAAGUGGUGAUGGGAUAUCUGAGAGACAGAGCAACUCCUGAAAUGGACGCAUGGUGGAUUCCUCUUGAUGAAAGACUUCAGUGUCUCUCAACAGAUGUCAGCCAUGCACUGCUUAUGGUUUCUCCAGAGUGCUUUGCUGUGUUCAGAGACAGAUCUGGAAGAUAUGGAUUUUUUGAUUCACAUUCCAGAACUGCUGAAGGUUUGCCACAUCCUACUGGUGACGGAACGGCAGUUAUGCUAACUUUCACUAACCUGCAUGACAUGACCAACAGAUUACUUGAGCUUUUUUGGAAUCGUGGUCCUCAAGCUUGCUAUGAAUUCAUGGCUGUUUCAUUUGAAAUGGAGCAACAGUCUGAGGAACCAUGCUCAUCAGCAGCAUGUGUGUCACCUACACAAGUAACUUCACCUCUGCCAAAAACACAAACAACUGCUGACAUCAGAAUCCCUGGAAAUCUUGUUCUCACAGAUGACAAAAACCAAAGUGUCAUAAAGGUUUUAAAAACAAACAAGCAGCGAAGAAGAAAACAAGUGCGUAAAAUUGCGAAUAAAAAGCAAGAAGCAAGACUAGAGAAAACCGCUCCACAUUUUGAAGUCCGGGAAAAAAAAAGAGAAAACGAGAGAGAGAAAUAUGCCACC
ensembl:lncRNA